UACGAAGGGUGCAAGCGUUACUCGGAAUUACUGGGCGUAAAGGGCGCGUAGGCGCCUUCUAAGUCGAACGUGAAAUCCCCGGGCUCAACCCGGGAACUGCGUCCGAUACUGGAAGGCUUGAAUCCGGGAGAGGGAUGUGGAAUUCCAGGUGUAGCGGUGAAAUGCGUAGAUAUCUGGAGGAACACCGGUGGCGAAGGCGACAUCCUGGACCGGUAUUGACGCUGAGGCGCGAAAGCCAGGGGAGCAAACGGG
rnacentral:rRNA from 1 species